GCAGCCGUGGGCGGGUUUUUAAGGCGAUGGACUAGAAAUCUAUGGGGUACUCGCCGCACAGGUUCGAAUCCUGUCGACAGCG
rnacentral:tRNA from 1 species